AUGUUCGUGGCACACCAUCACAUAUCUCACAUACCCAAGGUGCGCGCACACUGGGUACCGCCCCAGCCGGGCUGGGUUAAGUUGAACACGGAUGGGAGCUACAUAGCGGCCACAUGUGCGGCGGGAGGAGGUAUGAUCCUGCGUGAUGACAGAGGCGAGAUCAUCUACAGCGCAUGUAGGGAGCUACGUACAUGUGACAACGCUUUAGAGGCGGAGUUAGAAGCGUGCAGAGAAGGCUUGGAGCUGGCCUUGCACCGAUCUAACCUACCUAUUCUGGUUGAGUUGGAUAGCACGGAGGCGGUGUCGAUGAUUACAGCACGCGAGAUGGAUAGAUCGUCACAUCGUGCACUUAUAAAGGAGAUUCGUAGGUUGGCUGGAAGCGAUGAUAGGGAGAUCUCUUUUACUCUUUGUAGCCGUCUGCAGAACAUGAUUAGUCAUGAGCUGGCCGCCUAUGGCCGUAGCACUCCGCGCACAGCAGUCUGGCUUACUGCCGGGAUGGACUUUGUUAUAAACCUGGCUCUCGCUAAGAAGCUUCCUUGA
rnacentral:rRNA from 1 species